rnacentral:rRNA from 1 species
AGUGAACGCUGGCGGUAGGCCUAACACAUGCAAGUCGAACGGCAGCACAGUAAGAGCUUGCUCUUACGGGUGGCGAGUGGCGGACGGGUGAGGAAUACAUCGGAAUCUACUUUUUCGUGGGGGAUAACGUAGGGAAACUUACGCUAAUACCGCAUACGACCUACGGGUGAAAGCAGGGGAUCUUCGGACCUUGCGCGAUUGAAUGAGCCGAUGUCGGAUUAGCUAGUUGGCGGGGUAAAGGCCCACCAAGGCGACGAACCGUAGCUGGUCUGAGAGGAUGAACAACCACACGGGGACAGAGACGCGGGCCAAACCCCCAGGGGGGGGAGGGGUGGAGAAUUUUGGAAAAUGGGCGAAAGGCCAGUCCAACCAUACCGCGAGGGUGAAGAAGGCCUUGAGGUUGGAAAGCCCUUUUGUUGGGAAAAAAAAGGAGCAGGUUAAUACCCCGGUUUUUCAGCGGGACCCAAAGAAAAAGACCCGGCAAACCUCG